rnacentral:tRNA from 1 species
AAAAAAUUAGUUAAAUUAUAACAUUAGUUUGUCAAACUAAAAUUAUUAUUAUAAUAAUAUUUUUUA